rnacentral:rRNA from 1 species
GACGUAGGGCGCAAGCGUUGUCCGGAUUUAUUGGGCGUAAAGAGCUCGUAGGCGGCUUGUUGCGUCGACCGUGAAAACCCGUGGCUCAACUGCGGGAUUGCGGUCGAUACGGGCGGGCUAGAGUUCGGUAGGGGAGACUGGAAUUCCUGGUGUAGCGGUGAAAUGCGCAGAUAUCAGGAGGAACACCGGUGGCGAAGGCGGGUCUCUGGGCCGAUACUGACGCUGAGGAGCGAAAGCGUGGGGAGCGAACAGG